AUUGAACGCUGGCGGCAGGCCUAACACAUGCAAGUCGAGCGGAUGAAGGGAGCUUGCUCCUGGAUUCAGCGGCGGACGGGUGAGUAAUGCCUAGGAAUCUGCCUGGUAGUGGGGGAUAACGUCCGGAAACGGGCGCUAAUACCGCAUACGUCCUGAGGGAGAAAGUGGGGGAUCUUCGGACCUCACGCUAUCAGAUGAGCCUAGGUCGGAUUAGCUAGUUGGUGGGGUAAAGGCCUACCAAGGCGACGAUCCGUAACUGGUCUGAGAGGAUGAUCAGUCACACUGGAACUGAGACACGGGCCAGACUCCUAAGGGAGGGAGCAGUGGGGAAUAUUUGACAAUGGGCGGAAGCCUUAUCCAGCCAUGGCGCGUGGUGGAAGGAGGUCUUCGGAUUUUAAAACACUUUUAGUUGGGAGGAAGGGGAGUAAGUUUAUACCUUGCUUUUUUGACGGUACCAAAAGGAUAAGCAACGGCUAACUUCGGG
rnacentral:rRNA from 1 species